GGGCCUGUAGCUCAGCUAGGCAGAGCAACGGACUCUUAAUCCGUGGGUCAAGGGUUCAAAUCCCUUCAGGCUCA
rnacentral:tRNA from 1 species